GUUUGUAUGAUUAAAGCCAUUGAUGUAAACUUUUCACUGAGAGUGUAUAUGCAGGACAAAAACAAAAUUAGGAAUUCUUCGUUUAUGAUCCUAGAAC
rnacentral:snoRNA from 1 species